rnacentral:lncRNA from 1 species
AUGUUAUGUCUUGCUUUAUUGUCAUAUGUUGUUUGACAUUCGGAAAAUAACACACUGUUUUAAUCAACAACUCAACACGGCAUUAAAACUUGAUGGUCCGUAGCUUUGUAGCAAAAGGAGGUGGCGGUGGGGAGGGGAGAGGCAGAGUGAGGAGAAGAAACGAGAAUCACAGUUUAGCAACAGACCGAGACCUGUUCUGGUGGGACUCAUUCCUGGGAACACAGAAACUCUCAGUGUUUUUCUCAGUCUGCAUGUGUCAGUUUUGGAACAGCCUCGUGAAAGAAGGAAACUGGCUGAACAAGUUUCUGUCUGGCUUCAGACGUGGACACACUGCUGGUAACUGGACUUCCAGCCUGUUGUGAAUAAUGAAGUCUGCUCCGUCCAUAGUCGACAGAAAGAGCCUGAGACGCUGUGAGCAGCGACUUCCCAGUCAGUCACUGAAUUCACAAGCUAAACUGUCAAAGCUCCAUAGAGGACGAGAACCUACCCUCGUACAGUACAACUGAUCUCUGGCUCUCAGCAGACCCG